rnacentral:tRNA from 1 species
UCCGCGGUAGCUCAACGGUAGAGCGCCUCUCUGUUAAAGAGGAUGUUAAUGGUCCGAAUCCAUUCCGCGGAG